rnacentral:rRNA from 1 species
CCUACGGGGGGCAGCAGUAAGGAAUAUUGGACAAUGGGGGCAACCCUGAUCCAGCCAUGCCGCGUGAAGGAUGACGGCCUCUGGGUUGUAAACUUCUUUUGUACGGGAAUAUGUACCGUAAGAAUAAGGAUCGGCUAACUUCGUGCCAGCAGCCGCGGUAAUACGAAGGAUCCAAGCGUUAUCCGGAUUUAUUGGGUUUAAAGGGUGCGUAGGCGGGCUAUUAAGUCAGUGGUGAAAGCCCCAAGCUUAACUUGGGAAUUGCCAUUGAUACUGAUGGUCUUGAGUACACUUGAGGUGGGCGGAAUGUGUCAUGUAGCGGUGAAAUGCUUAGAUAUGACACAGAACACCGAUUGCGAAGGCAGCUCACUAAAUUGUACUGACGCUGAGGCACGAAAGCGUGGGGAUCAAACAGGAUUAGAUACCCUUGUAGUC